ACGAACGCUGGCGGCAUGCCUAACACAUGCAAGUCGAACGAGACCUUCGGGUCUAGUGGCGCACGGGUGCGUAACGCGUGGGAACCUGCCCUUAGGUUCGGAAUAACUCCCCGAAAGGGGUGCUAAUACCGGAUAAUGUCUUCGGACCAAAGAUUUAUCGCCUUUGGAUGGGCCCGCGUUGGAUUAGCUAGUUGGUAGGGUAAAAGCCUACCAAGGCGACGAUCCAUAGCUGGUCUGAGAGGAUGAUCAGCCACACUGGGACUGAGACACGGCCCAGACUCCUCCGGGAGGCAGCAGUGGGGAAUAUGGAACAAGGGGCGAAAGCCGGAUCCAGCAAGGCCGCGGGAGUGAUGAAGGCCUUAGGGUUGUAAAGCUCUUUACCCGGGAUGAUAAUGACAGUACCGGGAGAAUAAGCUCCGGCUAACUCCGUG
rnacentral:rRNA from 1 species